rnacentral:rRNA from 1 species
UGAGUACGAGAUGCUACGGCAUUGAAGCAGUCUAUGUCAUACUUCCAAGAAAAGCUUGCACUGUCAUAAAUAAACAAUGCCUGUACCAUAACCGACACAGGUGGGUAGGUAGAGUAUACUAAGGGGCGCGAGAUAACUCUCUCUAAGGAACUCGGCAAAAUGACUCCGUAACUUCGGGAGAAGGAGUGCCUUAUUCGUAAGGUUGCAAUAACAAGAUCCAAGCAACUGUUUAUCAAAAACACAGGUCUCCGCUAAGUCGCAAGACGAUGUAUGGGGGCUGACGCCUGCCCAGUGCCAGAAGGUUAAAGAAGACGGUUAGCAUUUGCGAAGCUGGUAACUGAAGCCCUGGUGAACGGCGGCCGUAACGAUAACGGUCCUAAGGUAGCGAAAUUCCUUGUCGGGUAAGUUCCGACCCGCACGAAAGGCGUAAUGAUUUGGAUACUGUCUCGGAGAGGGACUCGGUGAAAUAGACUUGUCUGUGAAGAUGCGGACUACCUGCACCUGGACAGAAAGACCCUAUGAAGCUUUACUGUAACUUGAGAUUGAAAUUGGACUUUAUAUGCGCAGUAUAGGUGGGAGGCUAUGAAAAUCUUUUUGCGGAAAGAUUGGAGCCAUCAGUGAGAUACCACUCUUAUAAUGUUAGAUUUCUAACUUUGUAUCAUUAUCUGGUCAAAGAACAGUCUCAGGCGGGCAGUUUGACUGGGGCGGUCGCCUCCCAAACGGUAACGGAGGCGCACAAAGGUUUCCUCUGAACGGGUAGAAAUCGUAUCUAGAGUGUAAAGGCAUAAGGAAGCUUGACUGUGAGACCUACAAGUCGAGCAGGGACGAAAGUCGGUCUUAGUGAUCUGACGGUGCUGAGUGGAAAGGCCGUCACUCAACGGAUAAAAGUUACUCUAAGGAUAACAGGCUGAUCUCCCCCAAGAGUUCACAUCGACGGGGAGGUUUGGCACCUCGAUGUCGGCUCAUCGCAUCCUGGGGCGGUAGUACGUCCCAAGGGUUGGGCUGUUCGCCCAUGAAAGCGGUACGCGAGCUGGGUUCAGAACGUCGUGAGACAGUUCGGUCCAUAUCCGGUGUAGGCGUUAGAAUAUUGAGAGGAGCCUUCUUUAGUACGAGAGGACCGAGAAGGACAUACCUCUGGUGUACCAGUUAUCGUGCCAACGGUGAACGCUGGGUAGCUAUGUGUGGAGUGGAUAACCGCUGAAAGCAUCUAAGUGGGAAGCCCACCUCAAGAUAAGUAUUCAC